ACCAAUUCCUGAGGAUGAUUUGUGUUCCUCGCGGUAGUUAGUCUUGGACGCUACAAGCGAUUCUCUUAUGUGGUAUAUCCUGAUUGGUGGCGUCCUCCCUGCCAGCUUAUCCUGGAAACGCCACAUAUAUUC
rfam:Triticum aestivum genome assembly, contig: Triticum_aestivum_CS42_TGACv1_scaffold_542951_6DS